rnacentral:rRNA from 1 species
AACGAACGCUGGCGGCAGGCCUAACACAUGCAAGUCGAGCGAGCAUUUCGGUGCUAGCGGCGGACGGGUGAGUAACGCGUGGGAACGUGCCCUUUUCUGCGGAAUAGUCCUGGGAAACUGGGGGUAAUACCGCAUACGCCCUUUUGGGGAAAGAUUUAUCGGAGAAGGAUCGGCCCGCGUUGGAUUAGGUAGUUGGUGGGGUAAUGGCCCACCAAGCCGACGAUCCAUAGCUGGUUUGAGAGGAUGAUCAGCCACACUGGGACUGAGACACGGCCCAGACUACUACGGGAGGCAGCAGUGGGGAAUCUUAGACAAUGGGGGCAACCCUGAUCUAGCCAUGCCGCGUGAGUGAUGAAGGCCUUAGGGUUGUAAAGCUCUUUCAGCUGGGAAGAUAAUGACGGUACCAGCAGAAGAAGCCCCGGCUAACUCCGUG